rnacentral:rRNA from 1 species
UACGGGGGGAGCAAGCGUGGUUCGGAUUUACUGGGCGUAAAGGGCGCGUAGGCGGCCACUGCAAGUCGGUUGUGAAAUCUCCGGGCUUAACCCGGAAAGGUCAAUCGAUACUGCAGAGCUAGAGUGCAGAAGGGGCAACUGGAAUUCUCGGUGUAGCGGUGAAAUGCGUAGAUAUCGGGAGGAACACCUGCGGCGAAGGCGGGUUGCUGGGCUGACACUGACGCUGAAGCGCGAAAGCUAGGGGAGCGAACGGG